rnacentral:rRNA from 1 species
UGGGUUCAGAACGUCGUGAGACAGUUCGGUCCCUAUCCGUCGCGGGCGUUGGAAAUUUGAGAGGAGCUGUCCUUAGUACGAGAGGACCGGGAUGGACUUACCGCUGGUGUACCAGUUGUUCUGCCAAGGGCAUUGCUGGGUAGCUAUGUAGGGAAGGGAUAAACGCUGAAAGCAUCUAAGUGUGAAGCCCACCUCAAGAUGAGAUUUCCCAUUUCUUUAAGAAAGUAAGAUCCCUGAGAGAUGAUCAGGUAGAUAGGUCAGGAGUGGAAGUACAGUGAUGUAUGGAGCGGACUGAUACUAAUCGAUCGAGGACUUA